GACGAACGCUGGCGGCGUGCUUAACACAUGCAAGUCGAACGGAAAGGCCCUGCUUUGGUGGGGUGCUCGGGUGGCGAACGGGGGAGUAACACGUGAGUAACGUACCCUUGACUUUGGGGUAACUUCAGGAAACUGGGGCUAAUACCGGAUAGGAGCUCCUGCUGCAGGGUGGGGGUGGGAAAGUUUCGGCGGUUGGGGAUGGAAUGGCGCCUUAUGGGGUUGGUGGUUGGGUAGUGGCAUAGCAAGGCCUGGCAGGGUGGCACGCCUGGGAGGGUGACCGGCCCAGUUGGGCCUGGGCUACGGCCCAGACUCCUACGGGAGGCAGCGGUGGAGAAUAUUGCAUUAUGGGCGGAAGCCUGAUGUAGCACCGCCGCGUGGGGUAUGACGGCAUUCGGGUUGUAUACCGAUGCUGCCUUUGACGAAGCGUUAGUGACGGUACCGGGUGAAUAAGCACCGGCUAACUACGUG
rnacentral:rRNA from 1 species